AGAAUCAACGCUGGCGGCGUGCCUAACACAUGCAAGUCGCACGAGAAAGGGGAGCAAUCCCUGAGUACAGUGGCGCACGGGUGAGUAACACGUGAAUCAUCUACCUCCGAGUGGGGAAUAACUGAGAGAAAUCUUAGCUAAUACCGCAUAAUACCCACGGGUCAAAGCAGCAAUGCGCUUGGAGAGGAGUUCGCGGCAGAUUAGUUAGUUGGCGGGGUAAUGGCCCACCAAGACGAUGAUCUGUAUCCGGCCUGAGAGGGCGCACGGACACACUGGAACUGAAACACGGUCCAGACUCCUACGGGAGGCAGCAGUGGGGAAUUUUGCGCAAUGGGGGAAACCCUGACGCAGCAACGCCGCGUGGAGGAUGAAGCCCCUUGGGGUGUAAACUCCUUCGAUCGGGAAGAUAAUGACGGUACCGAUAUAAGAAGCCCGGCUAACUUCGCGCCAGCAGCCGC
rnacentral:rRNA from 1 species